rnacentral:misc_RNA from 1 species
GAAAUGCGAUACUUGGUGUGAAUUGCAGAAUCCCGUGAAGAACGUCUGCCUGGGUGUCAUGCAUCGUGUUGCCCCCAACCACUCCAAGAGGAGCUCCGGUUUGGGGGCGGAAACUGGCCUCCCGUGCCUUGACGUGCGGUUGGCGCAAAAGCGAGUCUCUGGCGACGGACGUUGCGACAACGGUGGUUGUAAAAAGACCUGGUCUUGUCGCACGAAUCCGGGUCACCUUAGUGAGAUCGAGGACCCUUGGGCAACACACAUUGUGUGCGCUCCAAUUGUGACCCCAGGUCAGGCGGGACUACCCGCUGAGUUUAA